CAAGUCUGGCCAGUACCCUCUGCCAAAAACACACGCACGCUCAACGUUCCUCAGGAGUUCCCCCCCACAUCCCACCCUGUGACAUACUUCUGUCAGAUUUCUUCUGAGCACUGUCCACACCUUCCAGAUAAUGAGUUUAACAUUUCAAGAACAGAAGCUCUCAAUCUGAGCAAGACGAGGGAAAGAUCUGCAGCCUUGAUUUGGGGAAGGUGCCAACCCACCCUGUGCUCUCUGAAACUCCUUUGGCAUCCUCCUGAUUUAAGCAGGUUGAACCCUCUCCUGAGAAAGUCUGUCUGUACAGAAGGAGCAAGACAAGCACUCGGACACAAGUCCCAGCUUUGCAGCUGCAGUCUUAAAGUUUGCAGCUCUCCAAAUCUUACUCGGAUCAAGUUCAAGUGUGCCUUUCCUUCAAGGAUACAACCACGCGUGCAGCUAUCAUCUAAAUGCCAACAACACCACCUGGAAAUCCAUCUCAGAUGCCACUUCUUCUUCAAGCAGAUCUUCCCACCUGUCUCAAGCCAGAUGUUUUGA
rnacentral:lncRNA from 1 species